GGCAGGCCGGGCGCGCACGCUGCCAGGCUGUAUAGCCGCUCCCGCUACCGUCCGGACGGGAAGUGAGCGUACGGGGCCCGCAGCGCCAGCGAGCCGGUGAGAGCGUCCCGCAGCCGCCCGCACCCGGUGCAAAGCAUGGCGGCCUCCAAGGUGGCUUUAACCAAGAGAGCAGAUCCAGCCGAGCUUAGAACAAUAUUUUUGAAGUAUGCAAACAUUGAAAAAAAUGGUGAAUUUUUCAUGUCUCCCAAUGACUUCGUCAUUCGAUAUUUGAAUAUUUUUGGAGGAAGCCAGCCUAAUCCAAAGACUGUGGAACUUUUAAGUGGUGUGGUGGAUCAGACCAAAGAUGGAUUAAUAUCCUUUCAAGAAUUUGUGGCAUUUGAAUCUGUCCUGUGUGCCCCAGAUGCUUUGUUCGUGGUGGCCUUCCAGCUGUUUGACAAAGCUGGCAAAGGAGAAGUUACUUUUGAGGACAUUAAGCAAGUUUUUGGACAGACCACAAUUCAUCAACAUAUUCCAUUUAACUGGGAUUCAGAAUUUGUACAACUACACUUUGGAAAAGAAAGAAAAAGACACCUGACAUAUGCGGAAUUCACUCAGUUUUUACUGGAAAUACAAUUGGAGCAUGCAAAGCAAGCCUUUGUUCAAAGGGACAAUGCCAGGACUGGAAAAGUCACAGCCAUUGACUUCCGAGACAUCAUGGUCACCAUCCGCCCUCAUGUCUUGACACCUUUUGUAGAAGAAUGUCUAGUAGCUGCUGCUGGAGGUACCACGUCCCAUCAAGUUAGUUUCUCCUAUUUUAAUGGAUUUAAUUCACUCCUUAACAACAUGGAACUCAUUAGAAAGAUCUACAGCACUCUGGCUGGCAACAGGAAAGAUGUAGAGGUGACUAAGGAGGAGUUUGUUCUGGCAGCUCAGAAAUUUGGUCAGGUUACACCCAUGGAAGUUGACAUCUUGUUUCAGUUAGCAGAUUUAUAUGAGCCACGGGGACGUAUGACCUUAGCCGACAUUGAACGGAUCGCUCCUCUAGAAGAGGGAACUUUGCCCUUCAACUUGGCCGAGGCCCAGAGGCAGAAGAAGGCCUCAGUCAAUUCAUCUCGACCAAUUCUCCUACAAAUUGCAGAGUCAGCUUACAGGUUUGGUCUGGGUUCUGUUGCUGGAGCUGUUGGAGCCACCGCUGUGUACCCUAUCGAUCUGGUAAAAACUCGAAUGCAGAACCAGCGAUCUACUGGCUCUUUCGUGGGAGAACUUAUGUAUAAAAACAGCUUGGACUGUUUUAAGAAAGUGCUACGCUAUGAAGGCUUCUUUGGACUGUAUAGAGGUCUCUUGCCACAGUUAUUGGGAGUCGCCCCAGAGAAGGCCAUAAAACUUACAGUGAAUGAUUUUGUGAGGGAUAAAUUUACGCGCAAAGAUGGCUCAGUCCCACUCGCAGCAGAAAUUCUUGCUGGAGGCUGUGCAGGAGCCUCCCAGGUGAUUUUCACAAAUCCUUUGGAAAUUGUCAAGAUCCGUUUGCAGGUGGCUGGAGAGAUCACCACUGGUCCCCGAGUCAGUGCUCUGUCUGUCCUAAGGGACCUGGGCUUCUUUGGGAUCUACAAGGGUGCCAAAGCAUGCUUUCUGCGGGACAUUCCUUUCUCGGCCAUCUACUUCCCAUGCUAUGCUCAUGUGAAGGCUUCCCUUGCAAAUGAAGAUGGGCAGAUUAGCCCCGGAAGCCUGCUCUUAGCUGGCGCCAUAGCCGGAGCAUGGUGGCGAGCUUUCCUUUAGAAGCUGCCGAGGACAACGGGAACUCUCUUUCAGAAGGUGAAAGCAGAGAUUUCUCCACACUUUCGGUCUCAGCCUUUGUCCAGCCUCACUAUGCAGUGUAUGUAUCCCCUUCUGAACUAAAGAAGCAGUUCACACUUGACCUAGAACUUCAAGUUACCUGUGACCACUACUUAUAAAAAUCUUACUACUGGAUAUGCCAAAAGAAUUUCGUUGGCUGAAGAGAGAUGACAUGAAAUGGAAAGCCCAGAUCUCCAGAAAGAAAUGAAGAGAACCAGAAAAGAAGAAAGUGAAAAGCACAGGCCCCAGGCACGCGGGCCUCAGCAGUGGCGCAGACUCAGUCGUUAUGGCUCGCAGGCUCUAGAGCGCAGGCUUGGUAGUUGAGGUGCACGGGCUUAGCUGCUCCGCGGCAUGUGGGAUCCUCCUGGAACAGGGCUCGAACCGAUGUCUCCUGCAUUGACAGGUGGAUUCCCAACCACUGUGCCACCAGCUCCUGACCAAGCCCUCCCAUAAAGAACCACAAAAACAAAACAAAAGCCCAAGAAGAUACAAAAGUGAAUCAUGAUAACAUUUAUAACUUUUUCUCAUAUAAGCUUGUGGGAUCUUAGUUCCCUGAACAGGGACUGAACCCAGGCCCUCAGCAGUGAAAGCACAGAGUCCUAGCCACUGAACCACCCAGGAAUUCCUGGAAUUAUCUUGCUUUGGCGUUGCUGAGACGUGAACACAACUGUAAGACUAUUAAAGCAAUGGAAGAUUUUAGAUGGGACAUUGUAUGUGUGGGGCAGGUGGUGUGUGUGGUCUUAUUUUUAGUUUAAGAAGUACCUAAAACGAACAUGUGACAUUGAGAUCUCAAAAAGAAUUAAAUGGACAUUUAGCCUAUAGUUUUGUAUUUUAAUACCCUAUACCUCUUUUAUGCCAAAAAGUUCAUUAUAUCCCAUAUGUGCACUGUAAUUUGAAGCUAAGAUUAUCUGCCUAUUUGCUAUUUAUGUAGCUUUUUUUUCUUCCUCUCACUGCUUGGACGAGGUGAUUCAAACUACCUUCUUCAGCAAAUCUGAAUACCCAAUGACCUUAAAUUAAUAUGAUUAUAUCAUCUUUUUUUCUUAUUAAUAUAAAAAAGGCAGGGUGGAGUAGCUGCUCCUUCACUGACUACUUGUGAAUAUUAAAUUCUAAGUCUUCGUAGAAGAUUAUUCCUGCCCCAAAUUCUUGAUUUUGUAGCUAGCUAGUCACUAUUUGUUAGAGAAUAUGAGUAACACAUUUUUCUUAAAAUCAAAGAGUAGAAAAGACUUACACAUGCUUUAAAAAGUCAGUUCUCAGUAUCUUCUCUUAAUAACCCAGCUGAUAGUAUAACUGAGCACAUAGAGGUCUAGACAUAGAUGCACACAUACAUUCAAUAAACACAUAACUCAUCGUCAGUCCUUGCUUUGAUCAAUUAGAAAACUAUCUAGCUUUAAACAGUCAUCUUCUAAGGAGUUGAUAUUAUUCAAUAUGUUAAUUCUCUCAAAUUAUGCUGCUAAUCUCUAGUGUUAUUUCUUUCCUUUUUUCUUUUGGUGUCUUCCUUUUGAAGAAACUUGGUCAAAACUCUAGUAUAUCCUGGAGAUUUUGCUUUUUAAACAUCUGGAAAUAACUGCUUUGUUAAUCUUACCAAAAACCAAUUUUCUAAUGUUUAACAGUAUUGUAUUGAAAUGCUAUUAUUCCCUAGGUUUUCUUCAGCUUCCUUAUCACCUCCCACCUCCAGACUGAAGUCACUGUGCAAGUAACUCUAAGCUACAGAUUGUGCAUGUUUGGGGCAGAGAGAAGGAUUUAUAUUUUCAAAGGCUUUGUUCUAACCUUGAUAAAUUCACAGGAUGAAGAAGUCUUGGUCGAGAUUGAAGGCAUUUUUAGGGUACCAAGGGGACCAACAUCUAUGAAGCAACAGUUCCCACGUUUAGAACGGCACAUGCUAUAGGCAUAAUAAGCUAAUGCCACUCUUACAACGGUAAGCAGUGCUAUUCUGAAUAUUAAGUGCAGUUUUUUCAAUAGAGGAGUUUUCCAUUCUAUCUUAUUUGGGACUCAAAGG